AGUUCGGACUGUAGUCUGCAACCCGACUACACGAAGCUGGAAUCGCUAGUAAUCGCGAAUCAGAAUGUCGCGGUGAAUACGUUCCCGGGUCUUGUACACACCGCCCGUCACACCAUGGGAGUCGGGAAUGCCCGAAGUCAGUGACCCAACCUAUUGGAGGGAGCUGCCGAAGGCAGGUCUGAUAACUGGGGUGAAGUCGUAACAAGGUAAC
rnacentral:rRNA from 1 species